UAUCUCUGUAGAGUCUGCAUAUCAAUAAGCGGAGGAAAAGAAACUAACUAGGAUUCCCUCAGUAACGGCGAGUGAAGCGGGAAGAGCUCAAAUUUGAAAUCUUCAAGGUUUCACCUUGACGAAUUGUAGUUUAAAGAAGUAUUUUCUGUUGGUGUUUUGGUAAAAGUUCUUUGGAAUAGGACAUCAUAGAGGGUGAGAAUCCCGUAUUUGACCAUUACUUCCAGCGUUGUGAUACACUUUCAAAGAGUCGGAUUGUUUGGGAAUGCAGUCCAAAAUGGGUGGUAAAUUUCAUCUAAAGCUAAAUAUUGGCGAGAGACCGAUAGCGAACAAGUACCGUGAGGGAAAGAUGAAAAGAACUUUGAAAAGAGAGUUAAACAGUACGUGAAAUUGUCAAAAGGGAAGCGUUUGACACCAGUGUUGUUUUCUCGAAAAUCAAUUAAAAAAAGUUGGAUUUUGUAUUGUUAAGACCUUAUCAGCUUACUGUACUCUUUUCUUGCUUUUUUUAAUGCACUUUUCGUUUAACAAGUCAACAUCAAUUUCUUUUGUUGCUAAAAGAGUCAUUGGAAGGUGGCUUUCACUUCGGUGAAAGUGUUUAUAGCCUUUGGCUUCUGCAAUCGGAGAGAUUGAGGUCUGCAGCGUAGAUCCUUCGGGGCUAGAUACAUUAGAUGCUAAGUUAUAGCUUUUUAUAGACAACUUGUUGACUAUGAUUAAGUCAUGUAGCUUACUCGUUAUGCCUAUUUUACCUACGCUUAGGAUGUUGACGAUCAGCUGAGCGCG
rnacentral:rRNA from 1 species